GACGAACGCUGGCGGCGUGCUUAACACAUGCAAGUCGAACGGGAUCCGGGCUUUCGGGUUUGGUGAGAGUGGCGAACGGGUGAGUAACACGUGAGUAACCUGCCCCCUUCUUUGGGAUAACGUCGGGAAAUCGGCGCUAAUACUGGAUAUUCUUGCUGCAUCGCAUGGUGUGGUUUGGAAAGGGUUUCUGGUGGGGGAUGGGCUCGCGGCCUAUCAGCUUGUUGGUGGGGUGAUGGCCUACCAAGGCUUUGACGGGUAGCCGGCCUGAGAGGGUGUCCGGCCACACUGGGACUGAGACACGGCCCAGACCCCUACGGGAGGCAGCAGUGGGGAAUAUUGCACAAUGGGCGCAAGCCUGAUGCAGCGACGCCGCGUGAGGGAUGACGGCCUUCGGGUUGUAAACCUCUUUCAGUAUGGAACAAGGAUCCUUCUUGUGGGGGGUUUGAGGGUACGUGCAGAAGAAGCGCCGGCUAACUACGUG
rnacentral:rRNA from 1 species